GAUUAGCUAGUUGGUAGGGUAACGGCCUACCAAGGCGACGAUCGGUAGCUGGUCUGAGAGGACGGCCAGUCACACUGGAACUGAGACACGGUCCAGACUCCUACGGGAGGCAGCAGUGGGGAAUAUUGGACAAUGGGCGAAAGCCUGAUCCAGCCAUGCCGCGUGUGUGAAGAAGGUCUUCGGAUUGUAAAGCACUUUAAGUUGGGAGGAAGGGCAGUAAGUUAAUACCUUGCUGUUUUGACGUUACCAACAGAAUAAGCACCGGCUAACUUCGUG
rnacentral:rRNA from 1 species